rnacentral:rRNA from 1 species
ACGAACGCUGGCGGCGCGCCUAAUACAUGCAAGUCGAGCGAGAAGACGUAGCAAUACGUUUGUAAAGCGGCGAACGGGUGAGGAAUACAUGGGUAACCUACCCUCGAGUGGGGAAUAACUAGCCGAAAGGUUAGCUAAUACCGCGUACGCUCCUUGGACUUCGGUUCAGGGAGGAAAGCGAUACCGUGGGUAUCGCGCUCUUGGAUGGGCUCAUGUCCUAUCAGCUUGUUGGUGAGGUAACGGCUCACCAAGGCUUCGACGGGUAGCUGGUCUGAGAGGACGAUCAGCCACACUGGCACUGCGACACGGGCCAGACUCCUACGGGGAGGCAGCAGUAAGGAAUAUUGCGCAAUGGGCGAAAG